rnacentral:lncRNA from 1 species
UAGGUAUCCUGGCAGCAGAGCUGUCUCUUUCAUAUUCCCAUGGUGAUUUUGCAAUUGUACAUCAAGCAGCCCUGGCAAUGUAUUACCUCCUCUCCAUUGCAAAACGUCAGAUGGAUUCUAGGACAAAUUUUAUUGCCCUCCAUGCUGACAGACUUUGUGUUGCAUCUCCUGACGAAACUCUCAACAUCUGAUCAAGAUACGACAAUCAGAGCAGCAGUGAUACUGAAACUGACUCUGAAAU